rnacentral:rRNA from 1 species
GACGAACGCUGGCGGCGUGCUUAACACAUGCAAGUCGAACGAAGUGGCGAACGGGUGAGUAACGCGUAAUCAACCUGCCCUUCAGAGGGGGACAACAGUUGGAAACGACUGCUAAUACCGCAUACUUAAGGAGGGGAUUGCGGCUGAUUAGCUAGUUGGGGGGGAAAAGGCCCACCAAGGCGCGGAUCAGUAGCCGGUCUGAGAGGAUGAACGGCCAAGUUGAGACGGAGACACGGCCCAGACGCCUACGGUAGGCAGCAGUGGGGAAUCUUCCGCAAUGGACGAAAGUCUGACGGAGCAACGCCGCGUGAGUGAUGACGGCCUUCGGGUUGUAAAGCUCUGUUAAUCGGGACGCGGUACCGGAAUAGAAAGCCACGGCUAACUACGUGCCAGCAGCCGCGGUAAUAC